CGCGUAGACGGCUUUAUAAGUCUGGAGUGAAAGUCCUGCUUUCAAGGUGGGAAUUGCUUUGGAGACUGUAGGGCUUGAGUGCGGAAGAGGUAAGUGGAAUUCCCAGUGUAGCGGUGAAAUGCGUAGAGAUUGGGAGGAACACCAGUGGCGAAGGCGACUUACUGGGCCGUAACUGACGUUGAAGCGCGAAAGCGUGGGGAGCGAACAG
rnacentral:rRNA from 1 species